UAUUAUAAUUGUAUUUUUGGUAAUAAGAUUGAGAGGAGAGAGAUGUGAGAAAGUAACGAAUAUAUUGAGUUUUCCUUACAAGAAAAAUGAAUAAAUAAAAUAAUAAUAAUAAGGUGGCGAGGACUGAGAGAAGAAAAGGAAAAGAAAAGAAAAAGAAAAGAAGAAGAAAGAGAAAGGGAAAAAAAAAGAAAGGAGAGAGAGAGAGAGAGAGGGGUGGAAGAAAGAAAAGAUGGGUAACAAGGAAGUGUUGUUGUUUGAGAUGCGAGCCUGCAACUCCGGUAGAAAGGGAACCUUCUCCGGUUCUCAAAGGCAUCACCUUUUUGUUCAGAGCAUAAAGAUAAAGAGGUUUUCUGAUAAGGGUCUUCCUAAUUUUGUUAUUUUGGCUUCUGGGUGCUAAUGCUUGAACCGGUUUCUACACAGUGCAUUGUUGAUGAUUCAGGGAUCGGUUAAGUUUUCUGGGGUGAGGUUUGCAUUUCAAAGUUUCGUUCUUUUUCUCAGUGGGUUUGUG